AAAGAGGGCGAAACACACACACACAGACAGACCCAGCAGAGUGGCUGGCAUAUGACAGGUGCCCCACAAAAGAGAUUCUCUCUCCACCUUCCUUCUGCUGUUUCCUUUUCUGGAAUGAGAAUAGCUCAGUGUACAUGAUAAUAGACACAAGGGUCCAGAUUGAAGCUUCUGACGAUGCCAAGUGGCACUUCCUGACUUUAAGAGGGUUUGACAAAGAGUCAGGCAUCCACAACACCCCAAGUCAUGUGUUGAAGGCUGGGAAUACAGUGAUAAAGACAUCCCAGACAUGUGGUUCUAUCAUUCUGGAGCUUCUUUUCCGGUAGAAAGUGGAAAAGAAUCCCCUUUUUCUAGAGGUUAGGUAGAAAGGUCUUUCAACAGGAAGAAGCUGAACUGCUCUGAGACCUCAAAAGACCCAGGGGGGCAGGGAGAGGAUUGGGUCUGCUGGGUUCAGGGUGGAUUGGAGUUGCUUUGUGCCGCGUGGUUCCCUUGCACAUGCAGGCUCUACCCCGAUGUCACCGCCCACUGAGAUCACUGAGGCCUGCAGGUGGGUGGUGAAGCUCGGAUGUGGGGGCUCUAGAAGGUGCUCGACAGGAACAGACCCUUUCGUUGUUUAGGGCUCCAUCUCCACUCUCGACAGGCCAGCACCCUAGGGAGCUCUGACCUCCUGCAGCCUCUCUUUCUGCUCUGCUCUUGGCUGCAAAUUCCCUGGGCACAGUGCAGGCUCCAAGAGGCCAUUCUGAGGUCAUUCACGUAUGGAGUAUCGGCCAUCCAGGAGCAGCUAAAACUGUCAGUGACGCUGAAACACCCACAACCACCUUCUCUAAUCAUCCCUGAUGGGCCCUCCAAAAUCCACCCUUUACUCUCUCCCUGCUAAGGGCUGUGAGUUUAUUCCUAGGUUUUAUUGGAAAGUGUGAGGCUGGGAGAUAUGAAGUCCAAUAGACUUGACUCUAGCAACUGCUGCCAUUCCUUUUUAAAAUUGUUUUUCUUACUAUAGUUGAUUUACAAUGUUCUGUCCAUUUCUGCUAUACAGCAAAGUGACCCAGUCAUACAUAUAUGUGUGUGUGUAUGUAUAUAUAUAUACGUAUAUAUGUCCUUUUUCUCACAUUAUCCUCCAUCAUGUUCCGUCACAAGUAACUGCUAUAGUUUCCUGUGCUACACAGCAGGAUCUCGUUGCUUAUCCAUUCCAAAUGCAGUAGUUUGCAUCCAUUAACCCCAAAUUCCCAGUCCAUCCACCUCCCUCCACCUUGGCAACCACAAGUCUGUUCUCCAUGUCCAUGAGUCUGUUUCUUUGCUGUAGAUAGGUUCAUUUGUGCCCUAUAUUAGAUUCCAGAUAUAAGUGAUAUCACAUCUUUUUAGGCAUAAAAUGAGGCUCUUUGGGAGGUGGCUACAACAGCCACUUAGCAGCGGUUUCUUAAAUGCUGGAGACCUGGAGUUUGGAAUUAGAGGGAUUGUAAUAAACUUGUGCUUAUUUCAAAAUCCCAUGCUAGGGUUUAGAAAAUGCUAAAAAAGGAAAAAACCUAUGAAAAACCUCAAAACCUGAGUCCUCUACCACUUGGUAUGACACCAGUAUAUCAGUGGUGUUGACAGAGAAAAACACUCAACACCUCAAAAGGCUAUUGUAAACAGGUGAUUAAGGACUGAUUUUUUUCAGGAUUUGAGGACUCUGAAAUUAAUAUACAAGAGACAGCACAUUUUAAUAAGCUGUCAAUGAAGUAUACCAAAUAGAAAAUAUACGGCCGUCUGCUAUCGGAGCUGGCUGGCUGAAGAAUUGUUCUGCUUCAACUCAAUAAAGUAGGAGCCCUUAACAGAAUUAACUAUUAAGUUUUAAAAUAAGGGGAAAAAAGUAGAAGGAAUAAAAGUCUGCAGCAAAAAGACAAAACCCUAAAGGGAGAAUUCAAGAAAAUCUGUUUACUUGUAGUCUUUUUCAUUCCCUUAUGAAAGCUUUGUCAGUAGCUGAUGGGUCUUGUGCAUGCAUGAAGCCAGUUAAUCACAUUUAGGAAAUUUACAUGCUGUUAACUGCAUAUGAAACUCACUUAAGUGGGGCAGAUUUACUUCCCCAGAUCAGUCUUAUUUCAUUUACUCUAUUCCUAUUACUGACACGGAUUCAUCCUCACAUGGAUAUGACAGCCUUGACCACAACCCUUGCCUUUCAGGUGAGUGACAGCCCACAUGCAAUUCCGGAGCUUUCGGGAGAAGGUGUGAUUCUGAAGCUCCACACCAGACAUGUACAGUAAAUCAAUAAAGCAACUCACAUGCUUCAUGACUGGGUGCAGGCAUAGAAGGAGAUCAGCUUACAGAGAAUAAGUUCAAGGUGAGAAAACGUCUACCUUAGCCUUUUAAUUUUGGUUCAAGUUGGGAGCAAGUACCUAAAUGUUCUUCUCUUUCUAGGUGAAAGCACAUCUCCAGUGGCAGGUGAAAGUGGACAGAACUGCACUGUCCCAGGCUCGAACCUCAUUAGCAGCCAACUUGAUAUUUUUAGAGAGGGGAAAAAAAAAAUCACACGAAAUUGAUGUCAUGGUGAGAACUUUCAACGAAAUGAAUGAAGCGAAUGAAGAAAAUUGUGCUGGGUCGGUGACCCCCAAAUACUUGGAUCCACCCUCCUGCUCCUUUGGGGCUUAGGGUGAUGUUGUGGGCUCCUGGUACCUUUGGCACUUCUUUAAUUCGAGAUGGAUAGGAAGUUCCAACAGAGAGCUUGGGCUCAGGGUGGAGAGGAAGGAUGCAGUGAAGAUAAGGAAACUCAAGGAUGCUGGCCCUACAAGGCUGUUCUCUAAACCCAGCCUGAGUUAUAAAUGAUCAAGUAAGGGGUUUUCUCUUUGGCCCUGAGGCUAUUUCAUUAUGGGGUGGGGGUAGGGGGGUGGAAUCUUGCUGUUCAGAGCUUCAAGAUUAGAAGUUUUGAAACUUCACUACUUUCCCAGCUGAUCCAGCAAAGCAUGAUGCUCUUUGUCCUAUGAAAAUAUAGGACAUAAUUACCAUGCUUCCAACGUAGGCAGUGUUGCCUUGUGUAUAAAAUGGGAUUAAUAUUAGUACCCACCAAAGUACCUUAUAAAAGGUAGCCAUGAGCAUGAAAUGAGAUAAUUCAUAAUGGCAGCCUCACAUAACACAAGGUCGAUGAACUUUAGCUGUUGUUGCUGCGGUUCUUGUGGAUAUUAUGGCCAUAUUUCCAUAGUAAGAAUUGUCCUCAGUCAUGAUACACAGAAGGCAAGCAUAUGAUAACACAGAGAGUGGAUGAGAGGCCGAAUGGGGACAUUUUUAUUGUGUCACUUCUGUUAACCCUAUACCUCGAGGGCUGGGGAACAUCUCCCAUCUUCCUUACAUUUUCACUCAGUGGUUAUCUAAUCCCAUUGAAAGAUAAUCUGGGAAAACUUUAAGAGCAAAAAGGUCCCCAAAGGUCUGUUCGAAGACUGAAUGUUUGAGUUAUUUUGUUUAUUUUAUUUUUAAUUUUUAGGGGUAAACUUGAAGAAAUAGUGUCAUCCACGUAGGCUUGGCAGCAGUGUUACUUGUGACAACUAAUUUUAUUAUUAGCAACAAAAGAAGCAGAACCAGGACCUUUUUUCCUGCCAUCUGCCUCCUUGGGUCCCUGAAUUUGCUCUUUCUCCCCUCAUUCCCUAGAGGGAGAUGAUUAUCUGUGAGUGAUUUCCAUGGUGCAGAAUUUCCUUCCAGAGUCUCCAUGCCCACGAUGGUUGUCUUAACUUGUCAAAUUCCAGGAAAGCAUCUGACUAUAGCCUGUUAUUCACAGAUUUCUAGAUCUACUGGGAUUUGAGAGUAUCCCCCAGGGUUUUCUGCAAUCAACAUAUAUAAUAGUACCAGGACUAGGUUUAGAAGCUGAAAACAUGGUGUGGCAUUAAUUUGGGCCAUUUUUCCAAACCAUUAUGCAUCGGUUGACCAAAUUAGCUGAAUGUGAUGUGAAUUGAUUAAGGUGGCUAGAUGUACUAAUUGAUUGUACUGAAACAAAAAUCCUUUUGAUUGGAUAGGUGCAGACCCUUUUGACUGGAAAGAUACACUGCACUGUAGAGCUGUUAUGUCCCUGCAGUGACUUUAUUUGGCUCACAUGUACUGGCCAAAGGUGAAAGGUGAAAGGUGAAAAGUAGGCAAAGGCCAUUCUGCUUUAGAUAAUGAUAUGGAAUGGGUGUCUGGUAUGGAUUGUAGAAAUUUGUGCCCAGGCUCGGCCAUGAUCGAUGUCAACUGUCACUAAAGUGGACAAGAUGGUAAAAAUGAAGCAAAGGCCAUGAGGAAAAAGGAUGUGUUUGUUGUCCAUGGGAUGUUCUUCCAAGGGCCUGCUGCCUAGUACAUACUGUUCUUUCUCAUUCCAAGUCACUGAGAUAAGUGAAAAACAAAAAUAAACCCUGGAUACACAGUCGAUGGAAAUGCAGAGACAAGAGACGAGAGUACAAUCCAGAAAGGCUUGCCGAGUCCAGUUUUAUCAGAAUCUUAUCAGAUGGGCCCUCCAUCUCCUGGCUGUGGGGUUAAGCAUAUUGUGCUACGGUCGACCUCCCUGGGCUCUGGGCCAAGCUCACCGGUUUCAUCCCCUGGCUGACAGUGGGCAGUUAGAUCCCCUCACUUCUCUGCCUCUCAGUGUAUCUCAUCAGUGAAUUGGGUACAAUCGACCCUAUCUCACAGGGUUGUGUUAAGCCUUUGCCGAGAUAAAAUUAUGUAAAGCACGUGGCGCAGUGUCUGACACAUUGUAAAUCUUCACCUGUAAGUUCUUGUUUCUCCUCAUCACCAUUCUCAUGGGAGGAUGUCCUCCCUCUUCCUCAUCUCGGGUUUGUCUUGACUCCUCCAGCCUCUUCACACUGAGGCUCAGGUCCACUUCCUUCCAGAAGCCACUGUGCCGCCAAGCUGUUUCCAAGGGCAGCUUCCUGCUGUGGAGGCUUUAGGUCAGGUCCUGGCCGGGGAAAGAGGAGCGAGAGCCAACUCUCCCUGAGGGAGAGGCUUGAUGCCUCUGAACUACUGCCAGCAGACCCGAUUCCCCACUGGUAAGAUUAGCAUCUUUGCAGAAUCAGAAUAUGGUAUGAGAAGAAAUAAUUCAGAGUAAAUUAAAUGAUGACUCUGCAAUCAACUUGCAAGCUGCCCUUUUA
rnacentral:lncRNA from 1 species